CAAGUGAAUAAGUGCAUCAGGCGGAUGCCUUGGCGAUGAUAGGCGACGAAGGACGUGUAAGCCUGCGAAAAGCGCGGGGGAGCUGGCAAUAAAGCUAUGAUUCCGCGAUGUCCGAAUGGGGAAACCCACUGCAUUCUGUGCAGUAUCCUAAGUUGAAUACAUAGGCUUAGAGAAGCGAACCCGGAGAACUGAACCAUCUAAGUACCCGGAGGAAAAGAAAUCAACCGAGAUUCCGCAAGUAGUGGCGAGCGAACGCGGAGGAGCCUGUACGUAAUAACUGUCGAGAUAGAAGAACAAGCUGGGAAGCUUGACCAUAGCGGGUGACAGUCCCGUAUUCGAAAUCUCAACAGCGGUACUAAGCGUACGAAAAGUAGGGCGGGACACGUGAAAUCCUGUCUGAAUAUGGGGGGACCAUCCUCCAAGGCUAAAUACUCAUCAUCGACCGAUAGUGAACCAGUACCGUGAGGGAAAGGCGAAAAGAACCCCGGGAGGGGAGUGAAACAGAACCUGAAACCUGAUGCAUACAAACAGUGGGAGCGCCCUAGUGGUGUGACUGCGUACCUUUUGUAUAAUGGGUCAACGACUUACAUUCAGUAGCGAGCUUAACCGGAUAGGGGAGGCGUAGGGAAACCGAGUCUUAAUAGGGCGAUGAGUUGCUGGGUGUAGACCCGAAACCGAGUGAUCUAUCCAUGGCCAGGUUGAAGGUGCCGUAACAGGUACUGGAGGACCGAACCCACGCAUGUUGCAAAAUGCGGGGAUGAGCUGUGGGUAGGGGUGAAAGGCUAAACAAACUCGGAGAUAGCUGGUUCUCCCCGAAAACUAUUUAGGUAGUGCCUCGAGCAAGACACUGAUGGGGGUAAAGCACUGUUAUGGCUAGGGGGUUAUUGCAACUUACCAACCCAUGGCAAACUCAGAAUACCAUCAAGUGGUUCCUCGGGAGACAGACAGCGGGUGCUAACGUCCGUUGUCAAGAGGGAAACAACCCAGACCGCCGGCUAAGGUCCCAAAUGAUAGAUUAAGUGGUAAACGAAGUGGGAAGGCACAGACAGCCAGGAUGUUGGCUUAGAAGCAGCCAUCAUUUAAAGAAAGCGUAAUAGCUCACUGGUCGAGUCGUCCUGCGCGGAAGAUGUAACGGGGCUCAAAUCUAUAACCGAAGCUGCGGAUGCCGGUUUACCGGCAUGGUAGGGGAGCGUUCUGUAGGCUGAUGAAGGUGCAUUGUAAAGUGUGCUGGAGGUAUCAGAAGUGCGAAUGUUGACAUGAGUAGCGAUAAAGCGGGUGAAAAGCCCGCUCGCCGAAAGCCCAAGGUUUCCUACGCAACGUUCAUCGGCGUAGGGUAAGUCGGCCCCUAAGGCGAGGCAGAAAUGCGUAGUCGAUGGGAAACAGGUUAAUAUUCCUGUACUUGAUUCAAAUGCGAUGUGGGGACGGAGAAGGUUAGGUUGGCAAGCUGUUGGAAUAGCUUGUUUAAGCCGGUAGGUGGAAGACUUAGGCAAAUCCGGGUUUUCUUAACACCGAGAAGUGAUGACGAGUGUCUACGGACACGAAGCAACCGAUACCACGCUUCCAGGAAAAGCCACUAAGCUUCAGUUUGAAUCGAACCGUACCGCAAACCGACACAGGUGGGCAGGAUGAGAAUUCUAAGGCGCUUGAGAGAACUCGGGAGAAGGAACUCGGCAAAUUGAUACCGUAACUUCGGGAGAAGGUAUGCCCUCUAAGGUUAAGGACUUGCUCCGUAAGCCCCGGAGGGUCGCAGAGAAUAGGUGGCUGCGACUGUUUAUUAAAAACACAGCACUCUGCCAACACGAAAGUGGACGUAUAGGGUGUGACGCCUGCCCGGUGCCGGAAGGUUAAUUGAAGAUGUGCAAGCAUCGGAUCGAAGCCCCGGUAAACGGCGGCCGUAACUAUAACGGUCCUAAGGUAGCGAAAUUCCUUGUCGGGUAAGUUCCGACCCGCACGAAUGGCGUAACGAUGGCCACACUGUCUCCUCCCGAGACUCAGCGAAGUUGAAGUGGUUGUGAAGAUGCAAUCUACCCGCUGCUAGACGGAAAGACCCCGUGAACCUUUACUGUAGCUUUGCAUUGGACUUUGAAGUCACUUGUGUAGGAUAGGUGGGAGGCUUGGAAGCAGAGACGCCAGUCUCUGUGGAGUCGUCCUUGAAAUACCACCCUGGUGUCUUUGAGGUUCUAACCCAGACCCGUCAUCCGGGUCGGGGACCGUGCAUGGUAGGCAGUUUGACUGGGGCGGUCUCCUCCCAAAGCGUAACGGAGGAGUUCGAAGGUUACCUAGGUCCGGUCGGAAAUCGGACUGAUAGUGCAAUGGCAAAAGGUAGCUUAACUGCGAGACCGACAAGUCGGGCAGGUGCGAAAGCAGGACAUAGUGAUCCGGUGGUUCUGUAUGGAAGGGCCAUCGCUCAACGGAUAAAAGGUACUCCGGGGAUAACAGGCUGAUUCCGCCCAAGAGUUCAUAUCGACGGCGGAGUUUGGCACCUCGAUGUCGGCUCAUCACAUCCUGGGGCUGUAGUCGGUCCCAAGGGUAUGGCUGUUCGCCAUUUAAAGUGGUACGUGAGCUGGGUUUAAAACGUCGUGAGACAGUUUGGUCCCUAUCUGCAGUGGGCGUUGGAAGUUUGACGGGGGCUGCUCCUAGUACGAGAGGACCGGAGUGGACGAACCUCUGGUGUACCGGUUGUAACGCCAGUUGCAUAGCCGGGUAGCUAAGUUCGGAAGAGAUAAGCGCUGAAAGCAUCUAAGCGCGAAACUCGCCUGAAGAUGAGACUUCCCUUGCGGUUUAACCGCACUAAAGGGUCGUUCGAGACCAGGACGUUGAUAGGUGGGGUGUGGAAGCGCGGUAACGCGUGAAGCUAACCCAUACUAAUUGCCCGUGAGGCUUGACUC
rnacentral:rRNA from 1 species